UACGUAGGGUGCAAGCGUUGUCCGGAAUUAUUGGGCGUAAAGGAGCUCGUAGGCGGUCUGUCGCGUCGGAUGUGAAAACCCACGGGGCUCAACCCCAUGGCCUGCAUUCGAUACGGGCAGACGUAGAGUUCGGUAGGGGAGGACUUGGAAUUCCGUGGUGUAGCGGUGAAAUGCGCAGAUAUCAGGAGGAACACCGUGGCGAAG
rnacentral:rRNA from 1 species